CAAAUACUCCCUCCGUCCGAAAAUGCUUGUCAUCAAAAUGGAUAGAAAAGGAUGUAUCUAGAAUUACAAUACAUCUAGAUGCAUUUUCUUUUCUUCAUUUUGAUGACAAAUAUUUCUGGAUGGAGGGAGUAGGAG
rfam:Triticum aestivum genome assembly, contig: Triticum_aestivum_CS42_TGACv1_scaffold_211792_3AS